UGAUGUGUGAUGCAUACAUCACACGUCACCUGUGAUUUUGGCUGGGUAAUUAAAAGGCUGUAUUUUCUACCUCUGUUACUAUGUUAGGUGAAGCAUAGCAACAAAAUGAGGGUAUGAGAAUAGGGCAAAGGCAUGGGGAAGUAAUUAGAAGAGUGGCUCUGCUUAAUUUAUACCCUCAGGAUUAUGGAUUAAUAUCAAAUAGGGAUGCAUGGGUCUGCCAGAAACCUGUGGGCCAGUAUGAUUUACCCACUGAUAAGGAAGUUCAAGUUCCAAAAAUAUAUUACUUGUGUUGGUUAGGGCAAGUGUUAACUUCAGAAUAAGAAAAGUUAUGCACAGUUGGACCUCGCCUUAAAUGCUUUGUGAUCCCCCCAUCUGUGAUGUGUUAGUCUCAGUUGGAUCCAGAUAAUUAAAAUGGCUUCACAUAUGUGUGGUUUUGGGUUUCAAAUCAUAGUGACAACAGAGAACUAAGCAAUUUGAAUAGUUCAGCUGACUACAUUAUUACAUUAAACACAAUAUUUUCCUUAAUUAUGUAAAUACUUGUGUAACUGCAAAUAGCAGGUCUCAGCACACAGCACAGGGACCCUCAGGAAGAAUUGCAAUAGAGGAAGAUUGUCCACUGCAGGCUUCAGUAGUUUGCAUGUGCUAGACUGCAAUACAAUGUGCAGGUGUAGUUUUGCAGACAGCAGCUGUUACCAUUAACACGGAAGUCUUAAUAGCUUCAUGACUACUGGAUACAAACAAGACUGGACUGGGAUUCAAAAUAAGCCCUGGUAUUCUUAGUACACAGAGGCCCAAACAACCCCUACCUGCCCACUUAAUAGUCACUUUCUAUGGAAUCUUACAGCAGCCCCUCUGGCAUUUGCCAGAACCCACAGAUUGCCAGUCUGGGCCUGGAUACAAAUAUUCUGGUGAACAUGACAGCCAAAUAUCUUUGCAAACACCUCUUUGUGCCAGGAUUUUACACUUGACUGCUCUUUUGCAUAAUCAUUACACUGCUUUUUAAAGAUGUGAUAUUACAGUGUUCUACGACAUUGAAACGAUGAUGUAAAGUUUAUUUUAAGGCAAACACCUCUUUGUGCCAGGAUUUUACACUUGACUGCUCUUUUGCAUAAUCAUUACACUGCUUUUUAAAGAUGUGAUAUUACAGUGUUCUACGACAUUGAAACGAUGAUGUAAAGUUUAUUUUAAGCGUUCUGCCAGCGAGUUCAAUUCUACAGUGGUUUCUGAGACCACCCCUCCUGGUUUGCCCUUUACAAUGAUGUGCAUCACCCUUCCUUUGUUAAUAUGGGCAUCAAAGGUGCUGUCCCACGGAGGAUACAUGGUAUGAUGUGCCAUUAAGGAUCAUGUUUUAGCACAAACUGAACCAAUGGAUGGAUUAUCUGCAAGAUUAAUGAAAUACUGCAACUCAAAGUUCAAUAUCUGCGAUGACAACAAUACCUCUGCUGAUUCCACUGGACUGAUGUCUAUUGUAGAGAUUCCAGUGUUCCUGUGUCCUGAUCCCUACCUACGUGGAUUUCCCGAUGCUCUGGUCAUCCAUUCUCACAAGUGAUUAGUAAUUAGAAAAGAAGAAGAUGAUGAUUCAGAUCCCCUGUGCCUUAUUGGAAAACCUUUUGAAACUAUGCUUAAGGAUUUUAACAAAACAGCAUUUCUCUAGAAUAGCACACCUCUGCAGUAUGAGGUGUAAUGAAAGAUGGCAUAGCAUUAUCUAAUUACUAUGCCACUGUUCUCUACAUCCUAAUUACAUUAAAAUGAAUUGGGUCUAGUAUAUUAGAAGAGGGCAAAGAAUUUUACUAUUUUACUUAAUAAAAUGCAAAAAUCUUUUAAUGUU